rnacentral:rRNA from 1 species
AGCAGCCGCGGUAAUUCCAGCUCCAAUAGCGUAUAUUAAAGUUGUUGCAGUUAAAAAGCUCGUAGUUGAAUUUCGGGGUCAGUAGGUUGGUCAUGCCACUGGUAUGUACUGGUCUCACUGAUUCCUCCUUCCUGAUGAACUGUAAUGCCAUUAAUUUGGUGUUGCGGGGAAUCUGGACUGUUACUUUGAAAAAAUUUAGAGUGUUUAAAGCAGGCUAACGCCUGAAUACAUUAGCAUGGAAUAAUGAAAUAGGACGUUCGAUCCUAUUUUGUUGGUUUCUAGGAUUGACGUAAUGAUUAAUAGGGAUAGUUGGGGGCAUUAGUAUUCAAUUGUCAGAGGUGAAAUUCUUGGAUUUAUUGAAGACUAACUACUGCGAAAGCAUUUGCCAAGGAUGUUUUCAUUAAUCAAGAACGAAAGUUAGGGGAUCGAAGACGAUCAGAUACCGUCGUAGUCUUAACCAUAAACUAUAGCCGACUAGGGAUCGGAUGAUGUUAAUUUUUAUGACUCAUUCGGUCCG